UCAGUAUUCAUAGAAAAUAACUUGCGCGCCACACUCAUUUUUCCCAUUGCACUUUACUUCAUGUCUCUUCUUCUCUUCAUCCAUAGCCACACCCACUACAUUCUUUUCCUCCGAAAUUGUUCGUGACUGAUUCUAUUGUUCUUGCGUCUCCUCCACCGUCGUUCGCGACGCUGCAAGAUUCUUGGGUCUUUCCCACCGUUCGCCCAGUUUUUUACGACUUCUUUUGCCAUGUAGAAACUUACCAUUGCUGUGAGAUUACAAGUAAAUGAAAUUCAGGACCUCUUUUUUCCUUGUCAAUUUCAUUCACUAUAUAUGGCCCACACGAGCAUGAAAAGCUUUCACAAGUUGAGCUGUUGUUUGUUGAAGAAGCUACUGCUAUUCCACUGCUGGUGGUUUGAAGGUACUGGACGCUCUUUAUCGCUAAAGCUUUUGCAUCAAUUGGAAUUGCAAAGCAGUAUGUCUUCCACGAGCACAGAGGGCACUGGUUCUGGUGCUUAUUUUUGCUACUAGCUUUAAAACAUCACCUUAAUAAACAACGUGUUACCUCCUCAUAGUGAGUGUGAUCUAUACUAUGUUAAUCAGGAUACUGUUUUUCCCUAUCACAAAGAUAGUGAAUUGUUUUUGCAGCGAAUUAUGGCCAUAUGUUGUAUCGCAUUACAAGAAUUCUCCAAAUGAUCUGAAACUGAUGGUAGAUGCUACAGCACACCACUUUUUUUGUAUUACUUGGACCUGUUGAUGAAUCAAAGAAUUAUCUUCCUGAUAUUUUAUUUCAUCCAGGGUUGACUGCUCCGCUCCGCUAUCCGGAUUGACUACUAUGAUCUGUCAUCCAUUUCUUAUCUCUUCAAAGUUCCACUCAAGAUGUAGGACGCACAAGUACAAGUAGAGCUUCUCCAAUGCAAGGUAAAUGCCUCUGACUCCGAGACCCUUGUUGUGGUCAUUGUCUCCAUCCACUGCCAAGGCUGCCAAAAGAAAGUCAACAACUGAAUGCUGCACCCUUUGUUGAUUGAAAUGGAAAAGCUAUUCAAUGUUUCUAAAAUUGAAUUUUUUCUCUCUCUCAAAAGUCAAGAAAAGCCUUUCUUGUUGAAAUUCUUGAACAUGUAUUUUUUUUCUUUGUUCGGUUGUUUUUUAACAACAUUUAUAAAAUACAUUCUUU